rnacentral:tRNA from 1 species
GCGGGAGUAGUGUAGUGGCAACAUAUUUCCUUGCCAAGGAAAAGAUCGCGGGUUCAAAUCCCGUCUCCCGCUCAA